AUUGAACGCUGGCGGCAGGCUUAACACAUGCAAGUCGAGCGGGGGAAGGUAGCUUGCUACCGGACCUAGCGGCGGACGGGUGAGUAAUGCUUAGGAAUCUGCCUAUUAGUGGGGGACAACAUCUCGAAAGGGAUGCUAAUACCGCAUACGUCCUACGGGAGAAAGCAGGGGAUCUUCGGACUUUGCGCUAAUAGAUGAGCCCAAGUCGGAUUAGCGAGUUGGUGGGGUAAAGGCCUACCAAGGCGACGAUCUGUAGCGGGUCUGAGAGGAUGAUCCGCCACACUGGGACUGAGACACGGCCCAGACUCCUACGGGAGGCAGCAGUGGGGAAUAUUGGACAAUGGGGGGAACCCUGAUCCAGCCAUGCCGCGUGUGUGAAGAAGGCCUUAUGGUUGUAAAGCACUUUAAGCGAGGAGGAGGCUACUCUAGUUAAUACCUAGGGAUAGUGGACGUUACUCGCAGAAUAAGCACCGGCUAACUCUGUGCCAGCAGCCGCCGUAA
rnacentral:rRNA from 1 species